GACGAACGCCGCGGCGUGCUUAACACAUGCAAGUCGAGCGGUAAGGCCCUUUCGGGGGUACACGAGCGGCGAACGGGUGAGUAACACGUGGGUGACCUGCCCUCAGCUCUGGGAUAAGCCUGGGAAACCGGGUCUAAUACUGGAUAUGACUCCAUGACGCAUGUUGUGGGGUGGAAAGCCUUGUGCGGCUGAGGAUGGGCCCGCGGCCUAUCAGCUUGUUGGUGGGGUGAUGGCCUACCAAGGCGACGACGGGUAGCCGGCCUGAGAGGGCGACCGGCCACACUGGGACUGAGACACGGCCCAGACUCCUACGGGAGGCAGCAGUGGGGAAUCUUGCGCAAUGGGCGAAAGCCUGACGCAGCGACGCCGCGUGAGGGAUGACGGCC
rnacentral:rRNA from 1 species